rnacentral:rRNA from 1 species
ACCCGCUGAACUUAAGCAUAUCAAUAAGCGGAGGAAAAGAAACUAACAAGGAUUCCCCUAGUAACUGCGAGUGAAGCGGGAARAGCUCAAAUUURRAAUCUGGCAGGUCUYUGGCMCGUCCGAGUUGUAAUCUAGAGAAGUGUCUUCCGCGCUGGACCGUGUACAAGUCUCCUGGAAGGGAGCAUCGCAGAGGGUGACAAUCCCGUCUCUGACACGGACUACCCAGGGCUAUGUGAUGCGCUCUCGACGAGUCGAGUUGUUUGGGAAUGCAGCUCAAAUAGGGUGGUAAACUCCAUCUAAAGCUAAAUACUGGCGAGAGACCGAUAGCGAACAAGUACCGUGAGGGAAAGAUGAAAAGAACUUUGGAAAGAGAGUUAAACAGUACGUGAAAUUGCUGGAAGGGAAACGCUUCAAGGCAGUCGCGUCUGCCAGGGAUCAACCCUUGCUAUUCCUUGGCUGGGGCGUAUUUCCUGGUUGGAUGGGUCAGCAUCGAUUUCGGCUGUCGGAGAAGGUCGGGAGGAAAGUGGCACUCCACGGAGUGUGUUAUAGCCUCUCGUACUGGUGCGACGACGGGGAUCGAGGAACUUGGUCGCAUGACCUAGGAUGUUGGCAUAAUGUCUUCAAGCGACCCGUCUUGAAACACGGACCAAGGAGUCUAACAUGCCUGCGAGUGUUUGGGUGGCAAACCCGAGUGCGAAAUGAAAGUGAAAGUCGAGACCUCUGUCGUGAGGGCACCGACGCCCGGCCCAGCACCUUUGGUUAUGGAUCUGCGGUAUAGCAUGCAUGUUGGGACCCGAAAGAUGGUGAACUAUGCCUGAAUAGGGUGAAGCCAGAGGAAACUCUGGUGGAGGCUCGUAGCGAUUCUGACGUGCAAAUCGAUCGUCGAAUUUGGGUAUAGGGCGAAAGACUAAUCGAACCAUCUAGUAGCUGGUCCCGCCGAGUUUCCCUCAGAAAGCGAUCAGCACACUGCGCAGUUACUAGUGAUCGAGCUCGGUACCAGCUGCGUAUCAUGUAUAAUGGUUUGUUUCAAGA